AGGAAACAGCAUAAGUGGAUGCUUCUGUGAGAGUGCAGGUUGCUAUGAGACCUAAGAAGCCCGCAUGCUUUGCUGUGGACUGAAUGUUUGCAUACCCUCCUGAAUUCAUAUGCUGAAGCCUAAAUCCCCAAUUUGAUGGUAUACGAAGGUGGGGCCUUUGGGAGGUAAUUAGGUCAUGAAAGUGGAGCCCUCAUGAAUAGGAAGAAUGCCCUUAUAAAAGAAAUUCCAACAAGCUGCCUUGCCCCUUUUCUGCCAUUUGAGAAAACAGUGAGAAAUUGCUGCCUGUGAACCAGGAAGCGGGUGCUCACCGGACACUGAAGCCACUGGCACCUUGAUC
rnacentral:lncRNA from 1 species